CGAUCCCCUCGAAGUGAUCAAGGAGGGUCGAUCCCCUCGAAGUGAUCAAGGAGGGCCGAUCCCCUCGAAGCGAUCAAGGAGGCCGAUCCCCUCGAAGUGAUCAUUAUCAUCCCCAUUUCUCCCCUUUCUUCCACGAUAAGAUUUUAGGGUCUUAUCAUUUGGUAUCAGAGCCACGAUAAGACCUUUAGGGUCUUACCAUUUGGUAUCAGAGCGGCGAUCCUCGGCGUUCUCGCUGUAGUUCGU
rnacentral:lncRNA from 1 species